rnacentral:tRNA from 1 species
GGGGGUAUAGUUCAGUGAUAGAACAUUUGCCUAGUAUGUGCAAAGCCCUGGGGUUCAAUCCCUAAUACUGUCA